rnacentral:rRNA from 1 species
UGCGUAGGCGGUCUUGCAAGCCAGAGGUGAAAGGCUAUGGCUCAACCAUAGUGAGCCUUUGGAACUGCCGGACUUGAGUACAGGAGAGGAAAGUGGAAUUCCUAGUGUAGCGGUGAAAUGCGUAGAUAUUAGGAGGAACACCAGUGGCGAAGGCGACUUUCUGGACUGUUACUGACGCUGAGGCACGAAAGCGUGGGGAGCGAACAG